rnacentral:hammerhead_ribozyme from 1 species
GCACUGCUGAGGAGUCCCACACUAGGACGAAACGCAUGUCUAGUGC